rnacentral:rRNA from 1 species
GGACCAUCAUGUCGGUCGUGCCUCGGUACGUACUGGUAUUUUCGGUUUCUCCCUUCUGACAAACCUUGAUGUCAUUAAUUUGGUGUCUUGGGGAAUCAGGACUGUUACUUUGAAAAAAUUAGAGUGUUUAAAGCAGGCUAACGCCUGAAUACAUUAGCAUGGAAUAAUGAAAUAGGACGUUCGAUCCUAUUUUGUUGGUUUCUAGGAUUGACGUA